UUGGAGGGCAAGUCUGGUGCCAGCAGCCGCGGUAAUUCCAGCUCCAAUAGCGUAUAUUAAAGUUGUUGCAGUUAAAAAGCUCGUAGUUGAGUUUCGGGAUCAAUAUUUCGGUCAUGCCGUUGGUAUGCACUGUUAUCAUUGAUUUCUCACCUUCUAAAGAACCGUAAUGCCAUUAAUUUGGUGUUACGGGGAAUUAGGACUGUUACCUUGAAAAAAUUAGAGUGUUUAAAGCAGGC
rnacentral:rRNA from 1 species